rnacentral:tRNA from 1 species
GUUUCGGCCCGGCUGGCCACGGUGAACGGUGAACGUGGUGCCGCUGCGGUGGACACCGAAGACGUGGCGGUGGUCCAGUUCGAGACCGAGGCCGGGGUG